AUGGGCACCACGCCGCCGAAGUCGUUGGAGUUGGCGUGGAAGAGCGCCAGGUCGGGGAGCGCGUCCACGAACCCCUCCACGGUGGGGGCCUCCAGCUUGAAGCCGUUGAAGUCGACGGACGCGAGCGCCCGCUCGUUGACGUUGGGCGGCUUCUCGCAGAAGAAGCCCAAGUACGAGGUGUCGCUGCAGAUGGCGGUGCCGGUCCAGGUCUUGGUGAUGCCCUGGGGGUCGCACGUAAUGGUCUGCUUGAACCUCUGGAUCACGAGGUACGCCCUGUAG
rnacentral:rRNA from 1 species